rnacentral:tRNA from 1 species
AGGGGUGUAGCCAAGUGGCCUAAGGCACGGGUCUUUGAUACCUGCAUUCGGAAGUUCGAAUCUUCCCACCCCUA